rnacentral:lncRNA from 1 species
AUUCCCCAACAAGUAUCUGGAGCACUUUCACGUGUAACAAUUCCUCAGAGUACAUCUCCAAAGGUGUCCCCAACUGCUUCACCUCCCCUUGCAUCUUCACCCAGAAUAAGUGAACUUCAUGAGCUUCCAAGGCCACCGGGUAUUUUACCUUCCAAACCAACAAAAUCAUUAGCAUCAAUUGGUCAUUCUGCUCCAUUGGUCAGAAAUCCUGAGCAUUAUGGAACGAACAAGAAUCCUUCAACGGCUACAAAUUAUGCAUCACCUCUGCCAAUUCCACCUUUGGUUGUCCCUCGGAGUUUCUCAAUACCCUCCAGCAGUCAGAGAGCAGUGAGCGUACAUGUUUCCAAGUCUGUGGAGUCGUUGCCUAUCCCAGAUAAGCCUGAAGAAGUUGAUUCUCCACCAUUGACACCAAUUUCCCUCGCAAACAGCAGACAAGCAUCUAUCAUAUCUGAAGUGAUUCAUCAUUCUGGUCAAAUUAGAGGUAAAUGGAUAUCGAAUUUGCCACUUUCUAGUGUUGAACUAUCUUCACUUAUUGUAUAACUAAGGGUUGAACUGACCCCUUCAUCUACAUCUUGAGUUCACAUUUCUGUUGAGAAUUGCUUUUACAACACUUAAUCAAGUCCUAUUAUUAUCUUGCAAAAGAAGGGAAAAAAAGAGAAGAUUUUAUUGAUUUUCAACUUAAAUUAAAGGACAUUUUUCAUACUUGUUCAACUGUCCCAAUUUAAAACCCACUCUGCAUGAACAACUGAUGCUUACCUAUUGAAAAUGCAGAAGGUCCAGGUUGUGCCACCAUUGGGGAUAACAUUGGCUUUAUUGGGGCUACCCACAGCUUGUUAGUUGAAUUGCACUGUGUUUAGGAGCUUUUAUCUGUGAUGCGUAUUUUGUCUUUGACAUCUGUUGUCACUAUAGAUGGCACUCAUCACUUGUGUUUUAGCAGCAUCAACAUGCAUGAUUUUUGAUAUAAUUUCCAUAUGAUGAUAACAGCCCUUUUUCAAAUUUUGUUUUGGGGGUGGUUGGGUAGACAUUUGAUCUUGACAAUUAACUUAAAAAUUAUGUUUUAAAGGAACUGUUAGAUUGAUAUAUUUUUCUUUCUAGAGCUGUGAAUUUCUUUAGGUUACCUUGCUUUGUUGUCAUUCAAUCUAUUCUGGUUCUGAUUGUGUACAUGUUCACUAAAUGCAGGUGGGAGCUGAUAUGUUGCAAUAUUGAAUGAACUCUGAUUUUUACAAGAUUGCCUGACGCAAAUUUUUUUUUUUUUUUUUUUGUUUCCUUUUUGGGCCUCCUCAUGUUCAAGCUGGGCACUGUAAAUAGAAUGUUUUAUGCAUUGUUUAGUUUCUCAUCCCAAUUUUUGUUCAUCCUGUGAUUGAUUAUGAUGAGAACUAAGCUCCAGAUAAUUGUGUAUUAUUAUAUUAAGUCUUGUAUAUCAUCUAUUAAGAAAUUUUGUUCUUUUGUUCUACGUCGUCGUCUUCAUGGGGAGUUACAUGCAGUUCUUUAGAUUGGGGAAUAACAACAUUGAUAGAUGUUGAUGACCCUAAGGAGAGUGAAAAGGGGAAAGAAGUUUCAUGUUUUGAUGAUCAAAAUAGUGAAGGCACCAACAAGGACCUUGUGGAACCAAUCUAUGAUGAGUAUUAUGAUGAGGAAGAACAAGAAAUUGACAUAGUACUUAUCUUAGGAGAAAGUAUUGUCAUUCAACAUGUUCUUACUACCCCUAAAAUAGAAGAACAAGAAGAUUGGAACUUCAAAGGUGAAAAAACAAAGGAAGAUCUUUGUUAUUUAGAACAGUAUUUGCUUGUGGAUAUUGAUGGUAGUAAAUCGCCAAAAACAGAUUAUAUGAUGCAAGUACCCAUGAAGUUGAAAUACAUCUUCAAGCAAGAAGGCUAGUGCGAAUAAGUAAAAAUCUGUGUCGAACCAACUUUGCUUGCUUGGAAAAAUAAUGGAUUAUUUGAAUGGCUUGUGAUGUUGGUUGCUCUUGCAAAAGCCUUAGCACGUGGUAUUCUAAGGAGAAGUUUACACGAAAUGAUCCUAUUCUCAUGGCUGAAAUCUCUAAACUUUUCUCGUCGAAGCCGAGUUCUUUCCAAACCUGAGGAGAAUGGUGCAGGAGCAUCCAAGACUAAUUAAGAAUUUUUUUUUUUUUAGUUUCCUUCUUUAUUUAGGAUUUAGCUAAAUAGGAAUACUAUUCAGUCUAGGAGAAUUAGCUAAUUAGGAAUAUUUUUAGUAUAGAAUUAGGAUUUGUCCUAAUUAAUAUAAAUAGGAUAGCAUCAAUUAAUUUGAGGCAUUGCUUUUUUAUCUAUGAAUUCAGUAUUUUAAUUCUAAAGGUUUAUUUGAGACCGAUAUGUUAUCUUAUUCCAACCACAAUCAACCUAUUCUAGCCCUAAUUGUUGAGAGUUUAAUUUUCCCUAAAUUCGUCUCCUGCGUCAUUCUCCUUGUGUUGUCAUAUGCUGGUCCAUCUUUCAUCUUUCUGUAAGAAAAUAUACACCGCUAAUAAAGGAAAGAUUUAUCAAAAUAUUAUUAGUGUUUUUGUUGUCGUUAUUAUUAUUAGUAUUAUUGCGGGUUUUCUUUUUAUACAAUAGUUUUAUUUUGAUAGAUGACUACUUCAUAUGAUUAUGUUAGUUUCAGAUUGAGGUUUAGUUAAGCAGAGUGCAUGUUUCUAUAUUGUGAAAUCUCCUGUUGGGUCUUCGCCCAUGAACAUUUUUAAAUGGGUCAUGUUUUGGGCAGUUUGGUGGUUCACUUGAAGCAAAAUGGGGUAUACAAUUAUCUGGAUCUUGGUGGUGUAAAUGCAUAGUUAGGCAUACUAUUGUUAAUGAAAAUAUUGAAUUCUGUUAUAGAAGGGCAUGAAUAGAAGAAUUUGAAGCGGUGGACUCCUUGUUUGAAGUAGCAGCUAUUCUUAUGCUGUGUACAGGUGUAUUAUAUUGUGGAUUUCUUUCUUAAGAAUAUGUCCAUCACUAAUGGUGGAAUCACACUAGUUGAACUCUUCCUAGUUACAGAAAUUGUGAUUAAUGAUGGGGCGUUAUUGGAUAUUUUGAUUUAUUUCUUACACUUGUUGCAACUUGUUUUUUGUUUUAACAUGUUGGGUAUUAUCCAGGUGGAUGAUGUGGACCUUUCAUUUCCCCAAGUUUCAAUGACAGAAAAUGCAGAGGUAUAGUUCUGUUUUCCUUUUGAUUAAUAGAUUUGAACCUAAUGAUUUUACUAGGAAUAGUUAUCGUAACUAAUCUGGGGAUCAACAUGCAAGUUACAUCAUUAAUGUCAUUGAUAAUUCCCAAUAAACCUGGACGGUGACUCAUCGUUUCUGGGCUCGCUUUUGAAACUCCUCGGUGCAGAUGACAAUGACUUAUGUAAAGAUUGUUGCCCCUUCAAUUUGUCGGCUUUGAGAUUUAUGAUUUGGUGUCUGGUGCAAGUUAUUUGGCGACUAAAAUUUGUAUCUUCCUGCAGUUUAACUUAGAUAAAAACCAAGGGGGUAUUCAGGUUCCACUUAGAGAACCUAGACCAGGAAGCCAUUCAGCACCAAUAUUUCCUGAAAGAAAGCCUGAUCCAGUUGAAAGAAUAAGACAAAUGCAAUCCUCAGGGAGGAAGUCCAACACAUACGUCUUGCCCACACCGGCUGAUACAAAGACAGCAAUUUCUUCGAAGACAGGUGGUUCAAUUGCCAAUACAAGGCCAGCUGACAUCAGUGCACACACCCAUAAUAUGUGGCAUUCUUCUCCAUUGGAACAGAAGAAGCAUGAGAAAGAUCCUGGUGACACUCAACUGUCAGAGUUUACUGUCUUAAAAGCACGUGCAGCACAUAAAGAGAGCAACAGUAUCAGUGCCUCCAUCCAGUUGCCCCUUCCUUUAAUUGAAGGAAGUUCACUUCCACAAUUUGAUACGCAUAGUGCCUCUGAUAACAAAAAAAUCAAAAGACAAUCUUUCUCUGGUCCAAUAACUAGUAAGCAGUGGUCAACAAAGCCUGCUUUAUCUGCCAGUGGUCCCAUCUCCUCCAAUGACAUUCCCCAACAAGUAUCUGGAGCACUUUCACGUGUAACAAUUCCUCAGAGUACAUCUCCAAAGGUGUCCCCAACUGCUUCACCUCCCCUUGCAUCUUCACCCAGAAUAAGUGAACUUCAUGAGCUUCCAAGGCCACCGGGUAUUUUACCUUCCAAACCAACAAAAUCAUUAGCAUCAAUUGGUCAUUCUGCUCCAUUGGUCAGAAAUCCUGAGCAUUAUGGAACGAACAAGAAUCCUUCAACGGCUACAAAUUAUGCAUCACCUCUGCCAAUUCCACCUUUGGUUGUCCCUCGGAGUUUCUCAAUACCCUCCAGCAGUCAGAGAGCAGUGAGCGUACAUGUUUCCAAGUCUGUGGAGUCGUUGCCUAUCCCAGAUAAGCCUGAAGAAGUUGAUUCUCCACCAUUGACACCAAUUUCCCUCGCAAA